rnacentral:lncRNA from 1 species
UUGAAGAAAACAGCACCAGAAGCUGGUGGAGCAUGGCCUAUUAUUGGCCAUCUCCGCCUCUUAGGAGGGUCACAACCACCUCAUAUAAGCUUGGGUAACCUGGCAGACAAAUAUGGAGGAAUCUUCACCAUCAGGUUGGGUGUAAAUAGAGCUUUGGUGGUGAGCAAUUGGGAGAUAGCUAAAGAAUGUCUCACCAUAAACGAUAAAGCGUUUGCCAGUCGCCCAAAGCUUGCAAGCUCGGAAAUUUUGGGUUACAACUGUGCCAUGAUAGCCUUGGCACCGUAUGGACCUUAUUGGCGUCAAGUGCGCAAAUUCGCCACAAUUGAGCUCCUCUCAAAUCACCGACUCGAAUUGCUUAAACUUGUGCGGGAAUCCGAGGUGAAGGCAUCACUGCAACAAUUAUACCAGCUGUGGAACAAGAAGAAAAGUAGUAACUGUGGCAAAGUAAUGGUGGAGAUGAAGAGAUGGUUCAGAGAUGUUACUCUUAACGUGGUACUAAGGAUUGUUGUAGGGAAGCGAAUACCGAAUUCAUACGAAGGAGAUGAAACCGUGAAAUGGAAGAAGUCGUUGGACGACUUGUUUGAACUAAGUGGGAAGUUCUUAAUAUCAGAUGCGUUGCCUUAUCUGAGAUGGUUGGACAUAGGUGGAGAUGAGAAGUCUAUGAAGAAGGUAGCCAAAGAAUUGGACCAAGUUGUGGAGGAAUGGCUACGAGAGCACAAAGAAAAGAGAGCUGAAAAUGAGGCAAACAGUGGGGAAGAUUUCAUGGGAGUGAUGCUAUCUAUUCUUCGUGAUGCAGAGGAGCACGAUGCCGAUACCAUCAACAAAGCCGUCAGUCUCGUACGUGCAUUUCUUAAUCAAAUCCUAUAUUUGUUUGAUAUUUAUAUUCAUCAUUCACCUGAAUACCAAUUUCAAUCUGAUAUUAAUAGUUUUACUGUAAAUGAUUUAAUAGGGACUUACCUUAGCCGUGGAAGAUACCACAUCAAUUACAAUGACAUGGGCUUUAUCUUUAUUACUCAAUAAUCGCGAUGCAUUGAACAAGGUCAAACAAGAACUAGACAUUCAUGUUGGUAAAGAUAGACUCUUAGUUACAGAAUCAGAUACUAAAAACUUAGUGUACCUCCAAUCUGUCAUUAAAGAAACACUACGCCUCUAUCCUGCUGCU